CAUCAACUUUCAAUGGUCACACUGCAUAAGCACAGCCCUGAUGGCUUGAGCGUCGACGUGUGCCAUUCAGAUCCCGCAGGCGCGGUCGGAUCAUACAUCAGAGUCUGAUACCCAGGCUCUUCCUCCUGGGAAAACAGCAGCAGCUUCCCAUCAAGCACCCCAAGGCUGAACAGAGUGGCUGAGCUACCGGUAAGCGGCACCGGGAUCUUCUGCCAUGAACUGUCUGAAGGGUUGAAGAUCGCGAGUGACCGCUGGUUCUUCCACUCGAUGCAGAACAGCCUUUUGUUGAUGACAGCAUGAGAGGUGACCAUGACACAACCCUUCUUGAUCUCGGUCCAGGAAUGGAGAAUGGGAUCAUACACGUCAAUGAAACGGGAAUUGCCAAUGGUGAAGCUUGACCGGCCACCCAUGAUGUAGAGCUUGCCGUUGAAGCUGCAGGCAAAGGAGCCCCACCUUGGUCUGCGAAGGCUCUCUAUUAUUGUCCAUUUGUUUCUUUGUGGAUCAUAUACUUCAACACUUGACAAGCCAUCGCCAUCAGAACCAAAUCCACCAGCAACAUAUACUGCACCAUUGACCUCUGCACAUGCGAAGUCACGACGGGCCACGUUCAUCUUGGCCAGUGCAGCCCACCUGAACGAGCAUCAUACUGAUAAACUUCAUCAGAAACACAUUCUUUUCCAUAAUCAACACCAUAGCCAGCCAUGACAAGCAGCUUUCCAUCAAGAACAACCACACUAAAUCCAGCUUUAGUCAGUCCAGGCAUAGGAGGAAGCAUCCUAUUCUGCUGCUCCAGGCUCCCCAGCACCUCCCAAUAGGGUCCCUUUCCUCCAUCUCCAGUGAUCAGGGCAUAAAUCCGCUCUUCAAGCCUCCCGACCUCCUUCCUAACAGCAAUGAACUCCUUGCUCCCAAUGAAUGACAUCCAACUCUUGGACACUGCACCCAUGACAGGGAAGUAGCUCCGAGGGACAAGGGCAAGGCAUACUUUCGCUAAGUCUUCUGGCAAACCAGGUAUCAGUGCUCCGUAUGAAUCACCUUGGGUUCUAGUAGGAAACUUCAGCUGCAUUGUAGCAGGGAGGUUGGUCUGUGCUUUAACAAAUGGCUCUCUUGCUCCAACAAGUGUUAGCAUUGCCACAAGCAGCAGCAGGGCACCUUUUAGGCUUUAGCACUUCGUUUUGUUAACACUAAACAGCUUAAAUGAUCCCUUUUAUCACUUGCUUAGUUGCUAUGUAUCACGGCUGUCCUAGCAGGGGGAUUCAUGAUAUCCAUCACCAACGGGGAUCAUCAGAUAAAAUGGUCUGAAUGAUGCGAAAAUGAGGUUCUUCAGCUCAGAUUUCUCUGUCUUAAUCUUUUCUGUGUCAAAUGCCAUCCGAUGGUGGAAGACCUUAAAAUGGAUUCUCCUGAUCUCCUUAUUAAUGAAGUAAGAACAUGUCCCUGUCUUGCACAUUUGGCAUUCAAUAUCU
rnacentral:sRNA from 1 species